rnacentral:lncRNA from 1 species
GCCAGAUGGUGAUGACGACCAGAGGGAGGGUUGGAGGUCCAAGACUGGGGCGUUGGCUAGGAAGGGGUGGGAGGGCCUCUCUGGAGUCACAGAAGCCUCAUGCAUCUUGACCAGGACGGUGGAUGCAUGGCUUACAUUGGUCACAACUUGUCAACUUGUAUGACUGAAAACUGAACAUCACAUUGAAUUGGACUCAAAGGCAAGACCUGAGGCAAAAUUCAUGUAAGGAGGGAGUUUGGGCGAAGCUUGAGGACUGCUGCCCGGAAGCGUAGAUUCAAGUUGCCCUGAAUACACCUCCUAUUAGCAGCUGUUACAGAAGUUUGGCUGCUGUAACUGACUGGGAAGCUUAAAAUAACAGACAAUCAUCUCUCACAUUUAUGGGGACUGGGAAGUCCAAGACCAAGUUGCCAUCUGGGGAGGGCCUGUUCCUCACAGCGCCUUCCAGCUCAGGCCUCGUUUAUAAGGGCACUCAAGCCUUCCACGACAACGGGUCCUCAUGACUUACUCACCUCGGAAAGCCCCACCCCCAAGACCAUCACAUUGUGGGUGAUGGCAGAGCAUAAGGUGCCUUCCCCACAUGCUCGGGUUGGCCCAGCGUCUCACGCUAGCAGCUACGUGGAAUAGUUAUUUUUUCUGGAGAACUCUGGGACCCCUCUGAUGUCUUGGAGCACCCACACAGGCCGUUCACUGUGCACGCUGUGAGGCUGUCGUCUUGGAGCACCCACACAGGCCGUUCACUGUGCACGUGGUGAGGCUGUCCUCUGGGGAGUUCUGCUGUUGUAUGGGUUCUGUCUGUGUCAAUGUCCCAGCGGGAACGCAGGGCACACUAGCGUCAUCCCCAGAGGGCUUGGUAAGGGGACUGUUUGCAGAGACAUAGGCAGAGGGCUGGAAAACUACCAAAAAAGUGCAGUGUUCUGGACCUAAUAAUAGCAGAGCUAUUCUCACCCUGGUCUGAAGGCAGGAGGGGAGGAGCAGUUAAUGGAUUCUGGAAGUCAGGUUGCACAGAGUCACCUUGAAAGAUGCCAUGACCUUCACCGAGGGCCAGACAGAGACUAAGAUGACCCCAUAGGAGAAUAAGACCUAGACCUCAUCCUCCUGCCUCCUGCCAGUCCCUGCCAGGGGUCGCCAAUGGCAAAACAGGACUGGAAGCCAGAGGCCAUGGAAGCCCAUGGAUGAAGUCCACAGGCCAGCCUCCCCGAGAGCAGCCUGGACGGUCCGCAGGAGACGUCUCCUGUCUUAGGCGUCCCACGCCGCGUGCUCCUGUUCAGCCCUGCCGAGGUGGAAGCUUGGAGUGGCUCACGGUGGAUGCAUUGACGCUGCAGACGCCAGCAAGUGCUACAAACCAGAGCUGGCCUUUAACUCAGACUGAUGGAGAAGGUGUUAAUAAUGCAGAUUAGACUUAAAAGUGUUGAAGCCAUUGCACUGUGAACAGCAAAAAAAUUGAAGAACUCUUCUGGCAUUUAAAAACAAUUACUCAGUUCAGCAGAGAAGUCACUGACAAACGAGAUCACACUGACUGCUUUGUCGUUUUGGUUUUGUCUUACUCAUUAAUGCAAAUAAGAACAUUCACUAGCAUCUGUGUCGGGCCUACCCUCCCUGGUCAAAUACAGCUACAGUCUCCCUGCAGAAACGAGUUUUCCAGAAAUGAGCCGAUGUUUUCUGCGAGAAUCAAUUGGUCAUAUACAAUUUACAAAAAUGAGUACUGUAUACUAUAUUUGUAAACUGUACACUGCAGAUGCUUUAUUUCACUGAAAUUUAUAAUACACUUAUCCAUGUAUAUGCAUGCAUGCAUUUUUGUUCCUGAGAUCCAGCUGUGAAAUGUUUACCAGCACAUAAAUUACCAGCACAUGCUCUUUUUUGUUAACCUACUAGCAGUGUCUGGGGGCUGGUCCUCAGCCAUGACCGCCGGCCCUGGUCUGUCAUCAUCCUGAUAAUUUUCCAGAACUCCACCUGCAGCCGUCAUCCUGGGCGGCCCUGCUCCAUCUGUACCCUCUGCCCUGCCCUGGUCCUGGACCUGCUCCGCUCUGCAUUGCGCUCUGCGGGACCUGAGAGGUUUCUCAGCAGGAGCUGAAUAGUGUUGAAAAGGCUUCCAGCCCGCACCUCAGUGGGGCACUUUUCUUCAUGGGACAUGCGGGGUUGUCUGGGCUGGAGAACACAGAUUUGGGGGCACUCCGGAAGGUGGCAGAAGGUUGGCCCUACACGGGACCCAGUGGUCAUCUCUGCAAAUGCCGGGGCUGGGCUGUUCCUGCCUCAGAGGCCUCCCUCCUCCAGAGCAGGGGUGGAGAAAUCAGCCUGGAGAGCCUCACGGCGCAGGAGGGAUUUGCCGGGGCUGCCUCUGCAUAGAGCCCCCUGCAAACAGAGGAGCUGUUUUAUAGCACUGGAUUUAGCUUGCAGGGUCCUGGAACACCUAGAGACACCAGAGGGGGAGACCGCAGAUGAAGACCUCCUGGACGGCCGGGCAACCAGUGGCAGUCCCACGAGCCACGGGGCCGUGGCCAGCCUCCUUUCGGGACACAGUCCAGCCUGGAGGGAAGGAGGGGACAGGGGACCUUUCUGAUUCUUCUUUUUCCUUUUCCUUUGGAAUGAGAAAACAGCCUCUACGUUCUCCCAUUCACGUCUGUCAUCAGCUGAAGGAGCUCUUCCCCUUUUCCCCACUGACUCUGCACCCUCCACGGGGACAGCCUUGCUUUCGGGGCACAAUGAAAGAAACAUGACUGGAGACAUUACCAAGACCUGUCACUUGCUACCUUCUCUUUCUGAAGCCGUAAACAUGAGGAAAGACUCAUCGUUAGGUUAUUAUGAAUGAUGGACCAGCUUAUGUGUUUCAAUGAAAGCUAGGCUAUCACUGAGCUUGCUGGCUUAAAGCUGUGUGAGCCCACUGCUUAAUUUUUGGGACACAAAAGGUCUAGAAAUGUCGCCUGGCCUUUUCCAGUAGAGGUUGGCCCAAGAGCAUGAAUUUUCUGGCCAGCAUUUCGUUUCUUUUUCCUUCACGUAUGUUGCCAGCACUCAGGGCCUGUGGACCUGCCUUCUGUGCAGGGUGUCUUGUCUUUCGGGGCCGUGGCUGCUUCCGUAGGAGGCAUGGCAGGUGCCAGCCUGGGGCUGAGCUCUCCCCACGUGGAGCUCAGGGCCUCAGAGGCCAAAGGCACAUCCCUCAGAGGGCCUGGAAAUGGAAGGCCGGGCUGGGUUUACGGCACACCCAGGCCGGGCUCUAGUGGCUCAUGGUCACAGCCUGUCCACACAGCAUGGCGCUCCAGAGAAUGCUCAGAGGCUUAGGCUCAGACAGACAUGAAUUCACGUCUGAUGGGCGGAGCACCCGUGUGACCAUGGCAGGUUGCCUCCUUUUUAUCUGCAAAGCUGUGGCAAUGAUCCCCACCUCCAAGGACUCCAGCGAGGCACAUGUGAGACGCUGCAUGGGAAGAGCGUCCUGCAAACCCGGCCAGAUGGCAGCUGCACCGUCCCUCUGCCAGGUGUCCCUGGAGAUGCCUGCCUACCCAGCUCUGUUUCUGUUCACAUCUCAGUGUGACAAGCAGCCUGGAAGGGCCAUGCUCGAAAGGCUUGGGCCAGGAGCUCUUACCUGGUGAGCACAGACUGCGGCUUCCCAGACACCAACAGGGGAGGGGACAGAUGUUGCGCCAUGCUACGCCAUUGACUUUUCUGCAACUGAUACGAUGGGAAUAAUACUCCACUUCAGUUCACAGGGUGGGGGCAAUAGUGAGUGAGAGCUGGACAAGCCAGGGAAUAUUGAGAGACCAAAGACACCUGUUGUGGAUUUCCUGGGCCAUGAGAGCCGCCUCUUGGACGUGCAGGGUUGACGUAGUCAGCCACUCUUCUGAAACAGCGGCCUGGGGACCAGGCAGCCACGGUGAACCCUGGUACAUCACAGAGGGUGCUGACAUGGGCUGUACUGUGGGAGCUGCUGUGUAAUCAUUGCACACUGGGCAGUGGUGUUUGGCAUUCCCUGUGAUUACGUUCAGCCACCUAGACAGAACCCCAAAUCACGGUGGGUGAAACAAGAUGGAGCGCAUUUUCUUCCAUGCACAGGAAGCAUGGCAGCUGGCACUUACAGCCAGCGUGAAGCUCCCAGGGGCUCCAGAGCCAGGAGCUCUCUGCUCCUGGGCCUCACAUCCCUGCUCAUGGCUUCCAUGCUCCCUGCCAGCGUGGCUGCUGGAACUCCAGCCUUCUCAUCACAAUGCGUACAGGGAGGCUUCCAGAAGCUCUGGGUCAGUAUUCCGGCGUGCAUGUCCUCCACCCUAACGCACUCACCCACAUGCGCCGAGCAAAGUUGGAGCGGGUGGAGAAGGGCCUGGCGGUGCAGAGGCCCCAGGAUUUCUGGACAGGGCAGCUGUGGCUGCAGCAGGGAGGUGCAGUGCUGCGGGGAGGCGGUUGACAGCUGUCGCCUUUUGCCACUUCUGAGCCCAGCCACCAAAUUGGUCCACGUCUCUUAGAAAAUUCUGUGACAUGGCAGAUUCAUUGACACUCCUGGUCAUAACUGCUUCCCUUCUCCCACUAGACCACCUUCCCUCCCCAGCCCCCUUUUGGUAGCACAAAUACAGCUGCUGUGUGUAUUGGAUCCAGCAGGCGUGGAUCCAAUUAAACCUACACUAUUUGUUUCACUUUUCUUCAGAAAGAGCCUAUGAAAUAUGAGUUUCGGGGGCAAAGUUUUUAUCAUCAGAGCUGUUCCUUUCCAGCAGACCUUUCAGUUCUCAGCAGCAGCCCUUCUUUCUGGGGUAGGAACUGAGCUGGUCUGUGGGAUGCCCCGCCUCGUUCCAAAUGGGGUCCAUCCCUGAGACAAAGGCACAUGAUACAAAGCAAAGCCGCACAAACCUGCGGGAAUCAGAGUGAGGGAGAUGGAGGUGGAACAGCCACGCGGCCCGAGGAAGCAGCUACAGAAUGAAGUCUGUUAGUUCCCAUUCAGGCACCAGAGUGGGCCACACAUUUGCUGGUAGCUUCUAUCGACCAGUGCAAAAAGGCGACCGAGGUCUGUGAUGUCCCAGAGUGAACAUGACAGAGCGCAGGGGACACUCGGGCCUGAGCCCCCUGCCACCAAGGAAGAGGACCUUGAGGAAGGCAUGGGUGCCACCUGUCCACUGCACACACAGCCCUUCUAACGAACACGGACCCUCACGGGCCCCCGCGGGGCUCAGACACCGAUUCCAACACGGACCCUCACGGGCCCCGGCGGGGCUCAGACACCGAGGCUGACACACUGCCCUGUGCACACCUGCCUGGAGCCGGUGGCGGGACCCAGGGAGAGACAGCGUGUCCUCCAGCGUCUCCCCAGCUCCUCCGUGGUCAGUGGAGAGUCCAUGGGAACGUUUGAGGCUUUGAUCCUUGGCAAGAAUAUUUUUUUUUUGAGAUGGAGUCUCACUCUGUCGCCCAGGCUGGAGUGCAGAGUGGUGUGAUCUCGGCUCACUGCAAGCUCCGCCUCCCAGGUUCACGCCAUUCUCCUGCCUCAGCCUCCCGAGUAGCAGGGACUACAGGCGCCCGCCACCACGCCUGGCUAAUUUUUUGUAUUUUUAGUACAGACAGGGUUUCACUGUGUUAGCCAGGAUGGUCUCAAUCUCCUGACCUCGUGAUCCACCCUCCUCGGCCUCCCAAAGUGCUGGGAUUACAGGCGUGAGCCCCCGCGCCCGGCCGGCAAGAAUCCUGCGUGCGGAUGUUAAACCAGGGGCCAAAUGCAGCCAGGCUUGCACAGUGGGCUUGUCUUCAGCAAGAUGGGGGCUGCCUCAGAAUCACCAGGAACGUUCGAUAAAAAUGGAGACUUCCGGAACCUGCCCUAACCUACUGAACAGUAUCGUUGCUGGUGGGUGCCCUGCAGUCUGCAUUUGGCAAACUGGCAUAGCGAGUCCCAUGCCGUGUCGAGCCUGAGCCCCACGUUUCAUAAGGGAUUAGGGUCACUGGAGCUCACGAGGCCGCACCUGUUCCUGGCUGGGUGCGCUUGGGCACUUUGCCCGUCUACGCCUGGAACUUCUCUGGUGUAAACUGGAAUAAUAUCUCCUUUACAUGGCACAGAACUAAAGAUUCUUUGAGUUCCAGGUAAUAAAAACCAAGGCCAGACUAAAUCAGACAAAAUGACAUUUAAAACAUAAUAAAGACAGGAUUGCAGCUGACAGUGGAUCUAGAGAUCCACAGUUCACUGGGCCCCCACCCUGCCUGUCGCUCAGAAGUCUCCCCUCUGUGUGGCUUCACUCGCAGGCCGCUCCUCUGCACGGAGCAGCAGGGUGGCCGCCAUCAGCCUGGUCUCAUCUGCCCUCAGGGCUGAUGGUCCUGGACAAACAGCUGUCUCUCUGUUCAUCAAACUUGAGUUCAUAGCCUUCCAGAGGUGGCUGCAAAGCAGGCGGUGUGCUCACCUGGGCCGAUCACACCUCUGAGGGACCGAGCGCUCUGAGGACGGUGCCCCAGGUCACACCCGUGAGGGGCACACAUCCCCUGGGCUUCAGAGCAACGCAGCUGUGUCCUCUCCACAAGGUGCUGAGGCAGUGAUGCUGCCGGGCGGUUCCACGGCCUCUCUCCCCAGGGCUCUGAGUGUCAGGUGGGGGUCCAGGCUGAGGCUCAAGUCAGGUCUGCUCUGUGUGCCCCUCACUCUGCUGAGCUCCAGGCAUGUUUUUCCUGAAGCCGAUUCCCUGGAACACAUUGCAGGGCCUGCGGACAUCCACCAGCGUCCACGUGGUCAAAGCCCACCUUAGUGGGGUGGAGAAAAAUGUUCCUUCCAUGGCCAUCAGGAGCAGGGCUGACCAUCGCAGGGAGGGCUCACAUCUGCCCAGUCUCUGCCAGCGAGUCUCCUCUCAGAUCCCACGUGGGCACUCCCUCCCCACCCCUUCGUCUCUAAGAUUAAAUCCAGGUGCCUUGAGCCCCAGUCCCCAUGUUCCCCUCAAACCCCUGUUCCUCCCCACAGAGACACAUGGCUCCAGCUCCACACCCGAGCACCUGCUGUUUACGGUUUGUGCUGACCGGAUGCUGUUUCUCCUUCCAUCUCCACCUGCAAAUGUUCUGCUGACCCUCAGGCCGGUUUGAAGACCAGCACAGCCCAUGUGAGCAGGGCACAGGGCCCCAUCCUGAGUGGCUGGCCUGUCCGGGGGAGGAAGUUCCACCCCACACCCACCCCACCACCACAGGAUGUGCCCAGAAGGCGGAGGGACUGGCCACUGUGGGGGCUCCCAUGUCCAGGCCGGGCCUCCUCAGCAUAAAAUCAGCUGACAGCAGCCUCAACGCGCCACUGCCUGAGAGGACACCGCCUCUCCAAACCUGGGAAGAAGGCAGCCACGCCCUGGGGAGGGAACAGGUGGAGGUGGGUGCCAGGACUAGCCAGGACUUCCUCCCAAAUAUUUAGAAACUUGAUUGCAAUGAAAAGAUAGCAUCACUGAAUUAAAGACGUCAUUUAUUAUGGAGCUGAGAUUUGGUUUGCCCAGCAGCUUAAAACAAUGUCACUCACAGCCUUGUGGCACCUUGGGACGGGCAGGUGCCUACACAAUUAUUUACUUAAGAACAUACCUUCCUUUAAAAUAACCAAUGUUGUACUUAGAUAAAUGUAUUUACAUGGGAGACUUUCUGUCACAGAUUUGAUGUCUCGUGAUCAUUUCUCUUAGUAUACAUUAAAAGUUAAUUAUUGUCAGAAAAAGUUAUCUGAAACCUGGAACUAAGUCCCUAAAGUGGGCAGGGC